rnacentral:misc_RNA from 1 species
UCACUAAUCAAGCCCGGCUUGCUGUUGGACCUCUUGUCGUUAAAAGACAGGCCCUAAAGAUAAUGACGGCGUCAGUUGGACCCUAGAUGCAACGAGCUUUAACUAGCACGCAUUUUAGUUGGCCCUUUUGACCCGGUCUUUUUAUAACCAUUUUCUAA